GCCAGGUGCAGUGGUGCACACCUGUAAUCCCAGUGACUUGGGAGGAUGAGUCAGGAGGAUUGAAAGUUCAAAAGGUGCUUAGGAACUCAGUGAGACCCUGUCUCUA
rnacentral:sRNA from 1 species